UGUGCAACCUCCUAAGUGUCAUAAAGCACUUUACAGUACCAGUUUCUUCCUUCGCACCUCUGAACUUUGGAAUUCCUUCCCACAGUUUUGUUUUCCUCUUCUAUAUGACCUCCAGUCUUUUAAGUCUAAUGUACCUCGUCACCUAUUGACUUCUUUCUAGCGUCCAUUUUAUUCUAGUAACUCUUACAUUUUCAGUGGUCCAAGGACCUUGUAACAAGCGAAUGCUUUAAAAAACAAAAAAAAUCUGACCAAAAU